rnacentral:rRNA from 1 species
UACGAAGGGGGCUAGCGUUGCUCGGAAUCACUGGGCGUAAAGCGCACGUAGGCGGCUUACUAAGUCAGGGGUGAAAUCCUGGAGCUCAACUCCAGAACUGCCUUUGAUACUGGUGAGCUUGAGUCCGGAAGAGGUGAGUGGAACUGCGAGUGUAGAGGUGAAAUUCGUAGAUAUUCGCAAGAACACCAGUGGCGAAGGCGGCUCACUGGCCCGGAACUGACGCUGAGACGCGAAAGCGUGGGGAGCAAACAGG